GAUGAACGCUGGCGGCGUGCCUAAUACAUGCAAGUCGAGCGAGCGGACGAGAAGCUUGCUUCUCUGGUGUUAGCGGCGGACGGGUGAGUAACACGUGGAUAACCUACCUAUAAGACUGGGAUAACUUCGGGAAACCGUAGCUAAGACCGGAUAAUAUUUUGAACCGCAUGGUUCAAAAGUGGAAGACGGUCUUGCUGUCACUUAUAGAUGGAUCCGCGCUGCAUUAGCUAGUUGGUAAGGUAACGGCUUACCAAGGCUACGAUGCAUAGCCGACCUGAGAGGGUGAACGGCCACACUGGAACUGAGACACGGUCCAGACUCCUACGGGAGGCAGCAGUAGGGAAUCUUCCGCAAUGGGCGAAAGCCUGACGGAGCAACGCCGCGUGAGUGAUGAAGGUCUUCGGAUCGUAAAACUCUGUUAGUAGGGAAGAACAUAUGUGUAAGUACCUGUGCACAUCUUGACGGUACCUAAUCAGAAAGCUACGGCUAACUACGUG
rnacentral:rRNA from 1 species